rnacentral:misc_RNA from 1 species
AAGUCGUAACAAGGUUUCCGUAGGUGAACCUGCGGAAGGAUCCUCACAUAGCAAACGCUUUGUAUACCAAUAUUAACUCAACGCGAACUGUAACGUCCCUAUCAACUAAUGAAAUCUUCGGGUGAAGUUAGUUCGAUAGACAAUACCCCUGGUACACGUACCAUUCUCAUUUAGAUAUGUGAAGUGGUUGUGUACUUUUUAUUCACCAAUUUUUACCCUACAACGAAAUAAUUGUCUUAUCCUUAAAUGUCGAAGAGUUAGUGACUUUGUCAUCUGAUUUCGGUCAGUUGUUUAACGCUUGCUGCUAUUUGACUAUUUACGAAAUAAUGAACAACUCUUAGUAAUGGAUAUCUUGGGUCAU